rnacentral:rRNA from 1 species
GACGAACGCUGGCGGCGUGCUUAACACAUGCAAGUCGAACGGAAAGGCCCCUUUGGGGGUACUCGAGUGGCGAACGGGUGAGUAACACGUGAGUAACCUGCCCUUGACUUUGGGAUAACUUCAGGAAACUGGGGCUAAUACCGGAUAGGAAUCCUUGCUGCAUGGUGGGGGUUGGAAAGCUUCGGCGGUUUUGGAUGGACUCGCGGCUUAUCAGCUUGUUGGUGGGUUAGUGGCUUACCAAGGCUUUGACGGGUAGCCGGCCUGAGAGGGCGACCGGCCACAUUGGGACUGAGAUACGGCCCAGACUCCUACGGGAGGCAGCAGUGGGGAAUAUUGCACAAUGGGCGGAAGCCUGAUGCAGCAACGCCGCGUGCGGGAUGACGGCCUUCGGGUUGUAAACCGCUUUCAGCAGGGGCGAAGCUUGUGGUGACGGUACCUGCAGAAGAAGCACCGGCUAACUACGUG